AUGAUGGACUAUAGGACAGGACUGCUGCUUUUUACUGUCUGCUGGGCAGGUGUUAAAGCUCAGACUCUGACAGAAUCUGAAGCAGUGGUUAAAAGUCCUGGAGAAUCCCACAGACUGACCUGUUCAGCCUCUGGAUUCACAUUCAGCAGCCACCAUAUGAGCUGGGUCAGACAGGCUGCAGGAAAAGGACUGGAGUGGAUCGCCUGGAUUCAGAAUAAUAAUGACAACAAAUACUACUCUCAGUCAGUUACAGGCCGGUUCACCAUCUCCAGAGACAACAGCAGACAGCAGGUGUAUCUGCAGAUGAACAGUCUGAAGACUGAAGAUUCUGCUGUUUAUUAUUGUGCCAGAGAGCCACAGUGACACAGGAGGAAGUAACGCUGUACAAAAACAGUCAAAGUAGCAUUUCACAUUACAUCAGUAACCUCACUGACUGGGAUGUGUUAAGUAGCUGUACAGAAUCCUUUGCUAUUUAUGUCUAGUGGACCUAUGGAGCUUGUUCAAUUCAGAAUCAGGGAUAUAGUCCUUAACAUACAGACUCAGACCAAGAUGGAGUGACUGAUUCCAAAACCAAAAACUGAUUCGGCUACAAAGUAAUGAGAAAAUGAUAAACCUGAUGUAGGAGUUAUUACUCUCUCUACAAUAAAUGGAGUGGUUUACU